GAUGAACGCUGGCGGCGUGCCUAAUACAUGCAAGUCGAGCGAACAGACGAGGAGCUUGCUCCUCUGACGUUAGCGGCGGACGGGUGAGUAACACGUGGAUAACCUACCUAUAAGACUGGGAUAACUUCGGGACACCGGCGCUAAUACCGGAUAAUAUAUUGAACCGCAUGGUUCAAUGGUGAAAGACGGUUUUGCUGUCACUUAUAGAUGGAUCCGCGCCGCAUUAGCUAGUUGGUAAGGUAACGGCUUACCAAGGCAACGAUGCGUAGCCGACCUGAGAGGGUGAUCGGCCACACUGGAACUGAGACACGGUCAAGACUCCUACGGGAGGCAGCAGUAGGGAAUCUUCCGCAAUGGGCGAAAGCCUGACGGAGCAACGCCGCGUGAGUGAUGAAGGUCUUCGGAGCGUAAAACUCUGUUAUUAGGGAAGAACAAAUGUAUAAGUAACUAUGCACGUCUUGACGGUACCUAAUCAGAAAGCCACGGCUAACUACGUG
rnacentral:rRNA from 1 species